AUUAAAAAAAUAUGUGGAAAAAAUGGCAAAAAAAGAAAUAACCAACAAGCAAAAACGGGGGGUUUCAUUGCUCAAAAUGGUGUCAAACGAAAAUAAGGGCGCAAGGCCCAUAUGCAAAUGCCUCGCCGAGGAAGGGCGUGUGUAAGUGAUAUAAUGGUGUAAACCUGAAAAGUGCAUGGGAUUAAGGGGAUUAUUGUCCCAAUGCGCUAUAUGGAGGAGUUAGGAGAAAUUUUCAUAACAAUGGAAUUCAAAAGUGAAAAUCGAAAGUGAAAUAUUGCACGCCAUGAGGUCAAACACAAUUAAACUCUUCAGACCUCACACCACAUUCCUCCACCGUGCUGGAGGUCGCCUUUGGCGGCGGUGGAAGCACAGAAUAGAAAUUCUCAUCACCAAUAUCUUAGCCCUUACAUGUUUUCUCUACAUAUCAUGUCAAUUUACCUUAAUUUUUAUUCUAAAGCUCGAACCAAAACAAGGUCAUGAAGAACCCUAAACGACAAAACAAAAAUUAAAUGGCCACCCCUGGGAAUUAGAGCCCAAGAUGUUAGGGCUUUAAUUCCCCACAUCUCCACUCACAUGUCCAUACCUUAAUUGGAGAAAGAAGAUAAAAUUCAAGCUUACCUUCUCCAGAGAAGAUGAUAACAACAACGAGGCUUCCGGCCUGUUCUGAAGUUUGCAUUGUGGCCGCUUGUGAAUGAGUUGUUAUGUUUUAUAGUGAAAAUGACAUGAUGCUUUUCCUAUGUUAUUGUGUGUAUGUGAAUGAAUGUAUGUGGGAUACAAUGAAUGUUUUUGGAUGUAGGCUAGGGCUGUUAGAAAUGUAUCGUUUAUGGCUAAUGCAUUGGUGUGAACAAAUUGGUUUGGUUAUUUUUUGUUGGAUAUGCAAACAUGAAAUGAUGGAAUCAAGGCAUGACAUGUACUUGAAGAAAGAUGGUGAAUAUUUGGAUUAUGGAAAGAUCAAGUGGAAUUAUUAAGUGAAGGUCGUGGGUUUAGGAUGGUCAGAGUUGGUUAUUUGACUUUGGUCAACUUGUUGACCAAAAGGUCAAUAGUUGACCAAAAGUCAACUUAGGUAGAAAAGUUAAUUUUCUUGUAAUCUCUCAUGUAUGGAUAAUUGUGAUGUAUGUUUGUAUGAAUGUAAUGAGAUUUUGAAAUGAACAUGACUUUGGGGAA